GACGAACGCUGGCGGCGCGCCUAACACAUGCAAGUCGAACGGAGUUAAUCAUACUGAAUCUUCGGAGGACGAAUGAUUGACUUAGUGGCGAACGGGUGAGUAACGCGUGAGUAACCUGCCUUAAAGAGGGGGACAACAGUUGGAAACGACUGCUAAUACCGCAUAAGCCCACAGUACCGCAUGGUACAGUGAGAAAAGAUUUUAUCGCUUUAAGAUGGACUCGCGUCUGAUUAGCUAGUUGGUGGGUAACGGCCUACCAAGGCGACGAUCAGUAGCCGGACUGAGAGGUUGAUCGGCCACAUUGGGACUGAG
rnacentral:rRNA from 1 species